rnacentral:rRNA from 1 species
CGUUGAUCCCGGCUGAGGCCAUUGCUAUCGGAGUCCGAUUUAGCCAUGCUAGUCGCACGAGUUCAUACUCGUGGCAAAUAGCUCAGUAACACGUGGCCAAACUGCCCUACGGAUCACGAUAACCUCGGGAAACUGAGGCUAAUCGUGAAUACAGCUCUCAUGCUGGAGUUGCAGAGAGCUGGAAACGCUCCGGCGCCGUAGGAUGUGGCUGCGGCCGAUUAGGUAGACGGUGGAGUAACGGCCCACCGUGCCGAUAAUCGGUACGGGUUGUGAGAGCAAGAGCCCGGAGACGGUAUCUGAGACAAGAUACCGGGCCCUACGGGGCGCAGCAGGCGCGAAACCUUUACACUGCACGACAGUGCGAUAAGGGGACUCCGAGUGCGAGGGCAUACAGUCCUCGCUUUUCUGUACCGUAGGGUGGUACAGGAACAAGUGCUGGGCAAGACCGGUGCCAGCCGCCGCGGUAAUACCGGCAGCACGAGUGAUGGCCGAUUUUAUUGGGCCUAAAGCGUCCGUAGCCGGCCAGUCAAGUUCGUCGGGAAAUCUGCCCGCUUAACGGGCAGGCGUCCGGCGAAAACUGACUGGCUUGGGGCCGGGAGAUCUGAGGGGUACGUCCGGGGUAGGAGUGAAAUCCCGUAAUCCUGGACGGACCACCGGUGGCGAAAGCGCCUCAGAAAAACGGACCCGACGGUGAGGGACGAAAGCUAGGGUCUCGAACCGGAUUAGAUACCCGGGUAGUCCUAGCCGUAAACGAUGCUCGCUAGGUGUGUGGGCGCGCAGGCUUACGAAGCCUGCCGCUGUGCCGUAAGGGAAGCCGUGAAGCGAGCCGCCUGGGAAGUACGUCUGCAAGGAUGAAACUUAAAGGAAUUGGCGGGGGAGCACUACAACCGGAGGAGCCUGCGGUUUAAUUGGACUCAACGCCGGACAUCUCACCAGCACCGACAGUAGUAGUGACGGUCAGGUUGAUGACCUUACCCGAGCUACUGAGAGGAGGUGCAUGGCCGCCGUCAGCUCGUACCGUGAGGCGUCCUGUUAAGUCAGGCAACGAGCGAGACCCA